AUGGUAAUAAACCUUUUUUCCAAAAACCUCUUGUACGCAUUUCCUUCAAAAUUUCUGUUCACGCUUACAUCUGGUUUAGCUUCAAUCACAGUCUGCGAUGAUACUUCAUUCGUCAACUUCUUUUCUCCCAUCCACAUCGUCCCACCAUCAUCAUUAAAAAAAAACCCACAUCAACAGUCUCGUUCCCAGUAG